UUGGAGAUGUUGUCAAAAAUAUACAAUCAAAACAUUAAAUGAGUUUACAGUUAUCCGUUUCUGCGAAGGAAAAUUCCAAACUGACGUUUCUUUUACUGCUUAGUAUAUAUUAAGCAUCAAGCAUAAAAAACACU